rnacentral:lncRNA from 1 species
GAAUCGUGUUGAGAUGGAGAGAGUGAGGAGGGAGUUUCUUUGCAAUUCUUCACAGGCACUAAAGAUGGAGAGCACUUUUGAUGCUACUAAUGAGAGGGAAUGUAGUGUAUGUUUUUUUGAUCUACAUCUGUCUGCCGCCGGCUGUCACCAUUGUUCGCCGGAUAAAUAUGCAUGCUUGAACCAUGCAAAACAACUGUGCGCUUGUUCCUGGGGUGCCAAAUUUUUCCUCUUUUGUUUUUUUGAUCUACACCUGUCUGCUGCCGGCUGUCACCAUUGUUCGCCGGGUAAAUAUGCAUGCUUGAACCAUGCAAAACAACUGUGCACUUGUUCCUGGGGUGCCAAAUUUUUCCUCUUCCGUUUU